AGCAGCCGCGGUAAUUCCAGCUCCAAUAGCGUAUAUUAAAGUUGCUGCAGUUAAAAAGCUCGUAGUUGAAUUUCGGGACUAAUAUGUCGGUCGUGCCUCGGUACGUACUGGUAUUUUUGGUUUCUCCCUUCUGACGAACCUUGAUGUCAUUAAUUUGGUGUCUUGGGAAAUCAGGACUGUUACUUUGAAAAAAUUGAGUGUUUAAAGCAGGCUCACGCUUGAAUACAUUAGCAUGGAAUAAUGAAAUAGGACGUUUGAUUCUAUUUUGUUGGUUUCUAGGAUCGACGUAAUGAUUAAUAGGGAUAGUUGGGGCAUUAGUAUUCAAUUGUCAGAGGUGAAAUUCUUGGAUUUAUUGAAGACUAACUACUGCGAAAGCAUUUUGCCAAGGAUGUUUUCAUUAAUCAAGAACGAAAGUUAGGGGAUCGAAGACGAUCAGAUACCGUCGUGGUCUUAACCAUAAACUAU
rnacentral:rRNA from 1 species